UCACGGCUCACUCAAAUAGACCCCGCCACAGAUCACAGAUUAACUGAUUUACCAUGGCAACUAGAGCCGCGUACUUUUCCCCGUCGGAAGCACAAAUCCUCAUGGAGGCAUACGAGGAGGUAAAAGAUAUAAUUAAGAAGAAAGGCAACACCGCCACAGUGAUAAAGCAAAGAGAAAAAGCGUGGCAAAGUAUUGCAGACCGCCUGAAUGCAUGGUCUGCAAUGCUGACUGUGUGAUCAGCAAUGUUGUGGCAAAAUGGCCUGGCUCAGUCCAUGACUCCAGAAUCUUUCGGGCCUCUGAAAUCUAUCAGUGCCUAUCACAAGGUGAAUUCUCUGGUGUGUUGCUGGGAGACAGGGGGUAUGGCUGCCAGCCUUUUCUCCUGACACCUUUCACAGACCCCCAGGAAGCACAGCAGGCCUACAACCAUGCCCAUGCCAGGACCAGGGCCAGAGUUGAAAUGACCUUUGGCCUCCUGAAGGCACGCUUUCACUGCCUUCACAAAUUAAGGGUCAGCCCUGUUAGGGCAUGUGAUAUUACUGUGGCUUGUGCUGUCCUCCACAAUGUGGCCUGCCUGAGGAAGGAGAGGGCCCCAGAGUGCCACCAGCCAUGGACUGGGACAAUCCGGCAAUCUUCCCUGAUGACGACAGUGGUCGGCUGCUGAGGGACCAAUAUGUGUUGAAUUAUUUUAGUUAGUAUGUGUGCUUUCAAUUUUGGUUAAAUAUGUCCUGCGGUGGCAGAGGAAUUUGGG